UGGCCAUAUUAUGGUGAACACCAGUUUUCAUAAGAUCACCGAAGUUAAGCAACGCCGAGCCAGCAUGUCAGUACGAAGAUGGGUGACUGCUUGGGAAUAGCCGAUGUUGUAA